rnacentral:rRNA from 1 species
AGGAAUAUUGGUCAAUGGGCGGGAGCCUGAACCAGCCAAGUCGCGUGAGGGAUGACGGCCCUAUGGGUUGUAAACCUCUUUUGCCGGGGAGCAAAGUGCCGCACGUGUGCGGUUUGGAGAGUACCCGGAGAAAAAGCAUCGGCUAACUCCGUGCCAGCAGCCGCGGUAAUACGGAGGAUGCGAGCGUUAUCCGGAUUUAUUGGGUUUAAAGGGUGCGUAGGCGGACGCUUAAGUCAGCGGUAAAAUUGCGGGGCUCAACCCCGUACAGCCGUUGAAACUGCCGGGCUCGAGUGGGCGAGAAGUAUGCGGAAUGCGUGGUGUAGCGGUGAAAUGCAUAGAUAUCACGCAGAACCCCGAUUGCGAAGGCAGCAUACCGGCGCCCUACUGACGCUGAGGCACGAAAGUGCGGGGAUCAAA